GGGGCCUAAACAAGCAAGGAUAUCAAUGCAGAGAGUGCAAUGCAGCUAUUCACAAGAAAUGUAUUGACAAAGUCAUUGCGAAGUGCACAGGAUCUGCAGUCAACAGCAAAGAAACAGUGCUCCACAAAGAGAGAUUCAAGAUAGACAUGCCACACAGAUUUAAGGUUUACAAUUAUAAAAGUCCAACCUUCUGUGAACACUGCGGAACUCUUCUGUGGGGCUUGGCAAAGCAAGGAUUAAAGUGCGCAGAAUGUGGUAUGAAUGUUCAUCACAAGUGUGAAAAUAAAGUGGGCAACCUCUGCGGGGUCAAUCAGAAGUUGAUGGCAGAAGCACUGGCAAUGAUAGAGAGUAGACAACAGG